rnacentral:ncRNA from 2 species
UAUAUGUACUAGGGGUGCUUCUUUGCGAAGUCGAGAUGUAAGCAAACUUACAAACCCUUUGAACCUGUUAAGUUAACACUUGCGAAGGAAAAGUGCAGUUCGAGUUUU